rnacentral:rRNA from 1 species
UACGAAGGGGGCUAGCGUUGCUCGGAAUCACUGGGCGUAAAGCGCACGUAGGCGGAUUUCUAAGUUAGGGGUGAAAUCCUGGAGCUUAACUCCAGAACUGCCUUUGAUACUGGGAAUCUUCGAGUCCGGGAGAGGUGAGUGGAACUGCGAGUGUAGAGGUGAAAUUCGUAGAUAUUCGCAAGAACACCAGUGGCGAAGGCGGCUCACUGGCCCGGUACUGACGCUGAGGUGCGAAAGCGUGGGGAGCAAACAGG